UACGGAGGGGGCAAGCGUUAUUCGGAAUUACUGGGCGUAAAGGGCUCGUAGGCGGCCAACUAAGUCACACGUGAAAUCCCCAGGCUUAACCUGGGAACUGCGUGUGAUACUGGAUGGCUUGAAUUCGGGAGAGGGAUGCAGAAUUCCAGGUGUAGCGGUGAAAUGCGUAGAUAUCUGGAGGAAUACCGGUGGCGAAGGCGGCAUCCUGGACCGACAUUGACGCUGAGGAGCGAAAGCUAGGGGAGCAAACGGG
rnacentral:rRNA from 1 species